rnacentral:rRNA from 1 species
UACGUAGGGUCCGAGCGUUGUCCGGAGUUACUGGGCGUAAAGCGCGCGCAGGCGGCGGUGCUGGCCCGGCGUGAAAGCCCCCGGCUCAACCGGGGAGGGUCGUCGGGGACCGCACCGCUUGAGGGCGGUAGGGGCUGGUGGAAUGCCUGGUGUAGUGGUGAAAUGCGUAGAGAUCAGGCGGAACACCCGUGGCGAAGGCGGCCGAGCUGGGCCGUCCCUGACGCUGAGGCGCGAAAGCUAGGGUAGCAAACGGG